GCGUCGAGCGGCGGACGGGUGAGUAAUGCAUAGGAAGUUGCCCAGUUGAGGGGGAUAACCAUUGGAAACGAUGGCUAAUACCGCAUAAUCUCUUCGGAGCAAAGCGGGGGACCUUCGGGCCUCGCGCUACUGGAUACGCCUAUGUGGGAUUAGCUAGUUGGUGAGGUAAUGGCUCACCAAGGCGACGAUCCCUAGCUGGUCUGAGAGGAUGAUCAGCCACACUGGGACUGAGACACGGCCCAGACUCC
rnacentral:rRNA from 1 species